rnacentral:rRNA from 1 species
AGUUUGAUCCUGGCUCAGAUUGAACGCUGGCGGCAGGCCUAACACAUGCAAGUCGAGCGGAAACGACACUAACAAUCCUUCGGGUGCGUUAAUGGGCGUCGAGCGGCGGACGGGUGAGUAAUGCCUAGGAAAUUGCCUUGAUGUGGGGGAUAACCAUUGGAAACGAUGGCUAAUACCGCAUGAUGCCUACGGGCCAAAGAGGGGGACCUUCGGGCCUCUCGCGUCAAGAUAUGCCUAGGUGGGAUUAGCUAGUUGGUGAGGUAAUGGCUCACCAAGGCGACGAUCCCUAGCUGGUCUGAGAGGAUGAUCAGCCACACUGGAACUGAGACACGGUCCAGACUCCUACGGGAGGCAGCAGUGGGGAAUAUUGCACAAUGGGCGAAAGCCUGAUGCAGCCAUGCCGCGUGUAUGAAGAAGGCCUUCGGGUUGUAAAGUACUUUCAGUUGUGAGGAAGGGUGUGUAGUUAAUAGCUGCGCAUCUUGACGUUAGCAACAGAAGAAGCACCG